CUGGCUCAGGAUGAACGCUAGCGGCAGGCCUAAUACAUGCAAGUCGAACGGGUGUAGCAAUACACUAGUGGCGCACGGGUGCGUAACGCGUAACCAACCUACCUGGAUCUGGGGGAUAGCCCGCCGAAAGGCGGAUUAAUACCGCAUAAGACUAUAGCGCGGCAUCGUGUAGUAGUUAAAGAUUUAUUGGAUUCAGAUGGGGUUGCGUAGCAUUAGCUAGUUGGCGGGGUAACGGCCCACCAAGGCGACGAUGCUUAGGGGACCUGAGAGGGUGAUCCCCCACACUGGCACUGAGAUACGGGCCAGACUCCUACGGGAGGCAGCAGUAGGGAAUAUUGGGCAAUGGGCGAGAGCCUGACCCAGCCAUGCCGCGUGCCGGAUGAAGGCCUUCUGGGUUGUAAACGGCUUUUCUCAGGGAAGAAAAAGAGGAUGCGUCCUAAACUGAC
rnacentral:rRNA from 1 species